rnacentral:rRNA from 1 species
CAGCAGCCGCGGGAAAACGAGGGGGGCAAGCGUUGUCCGGAAUUAUUGGGCGUAAAGGGCUCGCAGGCGGUUUCUUAAGUCUGAUGUGAAAGCCCUCGGCUCAACCGGGGAGGGUCAUUGGAAACUGGGAAACUUGAGUGCAGAAGAGGAGAGUGGAAUUCCACGUGUAGCGGUGAAAUGCGUAGAGAUGUGGAGGAACACCAGUGGCGAAGGCGACUCUCUGGUCUGUAACUGACGCUGAGGCUCGAAAGCGUGGGUAGCAAACAGGAUUAGAUACCCCCGUAGUCCCUGUCUCUUAUAC